GUGCUCUAGCGGGUGGGGUAGACCUGGGCUAGCAGGCCUCAGGGAGAACUCCAAUGGCGUCUGUGUCAGCACGCUCACACCAGGCCACAACAAUGGCCGCCGCCAAUGUCCCAGUCCCUGGAGAGGUCUCACCCCUCACCGAGAUGCACUCAGGGCCUAUUAGAUUGGCAAAGAUGAAAAGAAAUGAUAAAAUCAGCAGUGGUGAGAGUGAAGACAGAGGCAUGCUCCAAUGAAACGAGCAAGAUUCUAAAUCCCCCUGUAAUCAUUGGGAAGAAAAGCUGCCAUGUUGUGAGGACUUUCAAGCAGCCCCAUGGAGAGGUCCACAUGGUGAGAAACCAAGGUCUCCUGCCCACAGCCAUUUUAGAGAGUCACCUUUAAAAGCUACUCCCCUAGCCCCCCAGUCAGAACUUCAGAGGACUGCAGCCCUGGUCAGUAUCUUGACUGCAACCUCAUGAGAGACCCUAAGCCAGAACCACCCAGCUAAGUGGCUCCCAAGUUCCCAUCCCUCAGAAACUGCAGGAUAAUAAAUGUUGUUUUGAG